AUUGAACGCUGGCGGCGGGCCUAACACAUGCAAGUCGAACGAGUGGCGGACGGGUGAGUAAUGUCUGGGAAACUGCCUGAUGGAGGGGGAUAACUACUGGAACCGGUAGCUAAUACCGCAUACCAUCGGAUCUGCCCAGAUGGGUUUAGCUAGUAGGUGGGGUAAAGGCUAACCAAGGCGACGAUCCCUAGCUGGUCUGAGAGGCUGACCGGCCACACUGGAACUGAGACACGGUCCAGACUCCUACGGGAGGCAGCAGUGGGGAAUAUUGCACAAUGGGCGCAAGCCUGAUGCAGCCAUGCCGCGUGUAUGAAGAAGGCCUUCGGGUUGUAAAGUACUUUCAGCGGGGAGGCGUUACCCGCAGAAGAAGCACCGGCUAACUCCGUGCCAGCCGCCGCGGUAAUAC
rnacentral:rRNA from 1 species